rnacentral:rRNA from 1 species
GACGAACGCUGGCGGCGUGCUUAACACAUGCAAGUCGAACGGAAAGGCCCUGCUUUUGUGGGGUGCUCGAGUGGCGAACGGGUGAGUAACACGUGAGUAACCUGCCCUUGACUUUGGGAUAACUUCAGGAAACUGGGGCUAAUACCGGAUAGGAGCUCCUGCUGCAUGGUGGGGGUUGGAAAGUUUCGGCGGUUGGGGAUGGGCUCGCGGCUUAUCAGCUUGUUGGUGGGGUAGUGGCUUACCAAGGCUUUGACGGGUAGCCGGCCUGAGAGGGUGACCGGCCACAUUGGGACUGAGAUACGGCCCAGACUCCUACGGGAGGCAGCAGUGGGGAAUAUUGCACAAUGGGCGGAAGCCUGAUGCAGCAACGCCGCGUGCGGGAUGACGGCCUUCGGGUUGUAAACCGCUUUCGCCUGUGACGAAGCGUGAGUGACGGUAAUGGGUAAAGAAGCACCGGCUAACUACGUGCCAGCGGCCGCGGUGAUACGUAGGGUGCGAGCGUUGUCCGGAUUUAUUGGGCGUAAAGGGCUCGUAGGUGGUUGAUCGCGUCGGAAGUGUAAUCUUGGGGCUUAACCCUGAGCGUGCUUUCGAUACGGGUUGACUUGAGGAAGGUAGGGGAGAAUGGAAUUCCUGGUGGAGCGGUGGAAUGCGCAGAUAUCAGGAGGAACACCAGUGGCGAAGGCGGUUCUCUGGGCCUUUCCUGACGCUGAGGAGCGAAAGCGUGGGGAGCGAACAGGCUUAGAUUCCCUGGUAGUCCACGCUGUAAACGGUGGGUACUAGGUGUGGGGUCCAUUCCACGGGUUCCGUGCCGUAGCUAACGCUUUAAGUACCCCGCCUGGGGAGUACGGCCGCAAGGCUAAAACUCAAAGGAAUUGACGGGGCCCCGCACAAGCGGCGGAGCAUGCGGAUUAAUUCGAUGCAACGCGUAGAACCUUACCUGGGUUUGACAUGGAUCGGGAGUGCUCAGAGAUGGGUGUGCCUCUUUUGGGGUCGGUUCACAGGUGGUGCAUGGCUGUCGUCAGCUCGUGUCGUGAGAUGUUGGGUUAAGUCCCGCAACGAGCGCAACCCUUGUUCACUGUUGCCAGCACGUUAUGGUGGGGACUCAGUGGAGACCGCCGGGGUCAACUCGGAGGAAGGUGGGGAUGACGUCAAGUCAUCAUGCCCCUUAUGUCCAGGGCUUCACGCAUGCUACAAUGGCUGGUACAGAGAGUGGCGAGCCUGUGAGGGUGAGCGAAUCUCGGAAAGUCGGUCUCAGUUCGGUUUGGGGUCUGCAACUCGACCUCAUGAAGUCGGAGUCGCUAGUAAUCGCAGAUCAGCAACGCUGCGGUGAAUACGUUCCCGGG